rnacentral:rRNA from 1 species
AUACAGAGGGUGCGAGCGUUAAUCGGAAUUACUGGGCGUAAAGCGCGCGUAGGCGGCUUAUUAAGUCAGAUGUGAAAUCCCCGCGCUCAACCUGGGAACUGCAUCUGAUACUGGUAAGCUAGAGUUUUGGAGAGGGAAGUAGAAUUUCAGGUGUAGCGGUGUAAUGCAUAGAGAUCUGAAGGAAUACCAGUGGCGAAGGCGACUUCCUGGCCAAAAACUGACGCUGAGGUGCGAAAGCGUGGGUAGCAAACGGGAUUAGAAACCCGAGUAGUCC